rnacentral:tRNA from 1 species
GGCGAGGUAGCUCAGUUGGUUAGAGCGUCGGAUUCAUAACCCGGAGGUCGCGGGAUCGUGYCCCGCUCUCGCUACAW